CCCGCACAAGCGGUGGAUGAUGUGGUUUAAUUCGAUGCAACGCGAAAAACCUUACCCACCUUUGACAUGUACGGAACUCGCCAGAGAUGGCUUGGUGCUCGAAAGAGAACCGUAACACAGGUGCUGCAUGGCUGUCGUCAGCUCGUGUCGUGAGAUGUUGGGUUAAGUCCCGCAACGAGCGCAACCCUUGUCAUUAGUUGCUACAUUAGUUGGGCACUCUAAUGAGACUGCCGGUGACAAACCGGAGGAAGGUGGGGAUGACGUCAAGUCCUCAUGGCCCUUAUAGGUGGGGCUACACACGUCAUACAAUGGCUGGUACAAAGGGUUGCCAACCCGCGAGGGGGAGCUAAUCCCACAAAGCCAGUCGUAGUCCGGAUCGUAGUCUGCAACUCGACUACGUGAAGUCGGAAUCGCUAGUAAUCGUGGAUCAGAAUGUCACGGUGAAUACGUUCCCGGGUCUUGUACACACCGCCCGUCACACCAUGGGAGCGGGUUCUGCCAGAA
rnacentral:rRNA from 1 species